rnacentral:rRNA from 1 species
GGGUGAGUAACACGUGAGCAACCUGCCCUUGACUCUGGGAUAAGCCUGGGAAACUGGGUCUAAUACCGGAUAGUACCCUCUGCCGCAUGGUGGGGGGUGGAAAGCCUUGUGCGGUCUUGGAUGGGCUCGCGGCCUAUCAGCUUGUUGGUGGGGUGAUGGCCUACCAAGGCGACGACGGGUAGCCGGCCUGAGAGGGUGACCGGCCACACUGGGACUGAGACACGGCCCAGACUCCUACGGGAGGCAGCAGUGGGGAAUAUUGCACAAUGGGCGGAAGCCUGAUGCAGCGACGCCGCGUGGGGGAUGACGGCCUUCGGGUUGUAAACCCCUUUCGGCAGGGAACAAGCCUUCGGGUGAGGGUACCUGCGGAAGAAGCGCCGGCUAACUACGUGCCAGCAGCCGCGGUAAUACGUAGGGCGCGAGCGUUAUCCGGAAUUAUUGGGCGUAAAGAGCUCGUAGGCGGUUUGUCGCGUCUGCUGUGAAAGCCCGGGGCUCAACCCCGGGUCUGCAGUGGGUACGGGCAGGCUGGAGUGCAGUAGGGGAGACUGGAAUUCCUGGUGUAGCGGUGAAAUGCGCAGAUAUCAGGAGGAACACCGAUGGCGAAGGCAGGUCUCUGGGCUGUAACUGACGCUGAGGA